AAGCAGAAAAAUACUUUCAACGUAGACCCUCUACGAAUUUACGCUAAGAAAUAAUUUUUACUGCUCCUCAGCCACGCCUUUGUUAUUGUUUUCAUUUAAUAUUGGAAGGCACAUAAUGUGCUAAAAUAUCAAGAUUGCCAUCUACAAAAAAAAAACGAAAUUCAAUUAAAAAAUAUCGCAUUGGCUUCCCAAAAUCAGUCGAUGGAAAUGGUGCCUUUCCAGGCUUGGUACCUUGCUAGGAUGACAAAAUGGCGGCUGGCAAAGGCUUGAAGAAAUAAGAAUAUUAAUGUCUGAUUAUAUGCAAGAUUAAUCAAGCGGGUCAACUCAGUUGCAAUCGGUACCAAAUGUUGCGACCUGCCUUUCACUUUGCCGUCAAAAUGUCCGGCUUUGCGAUGCGCAGAGUGAAAAGUUAGAAGGCCCCCCCCGAAGGUCUCCCCGAAGCGAGAAGAAACCUAUUUUACCUCGUCGUCAAAACUCCCACCAGAAACUUGCUCAAAAGAGCGUAACCAAGACGCUGGCUGUGUUUACCGUGAGAUUAAGGGGUUCCCAGAACAGAAUUAGAACAGAAACAAGAAAAGAUAAAGGAGAAUAGGUAAAAAUAGGAGAAAAGAGAGUAGAGAAAGUCAUGUCUAUUUACAUGAAAGCUGUACUACUAUUCCUAGAGGUCUAAAGACAUGAAAGAUCCAAGCGCCAUAAAAUGCAACCAACUCACGAAAAUUCCCAUGAACAAUUUGGUUUUGUAUUUCAGAAGUUUGGCUUUAAGGUUUUUGUAAUGGCAAAGUUACCUUUCCUGACUUGUAAACCACGAGAUGCUUUAGUAAAUUCCCAAUGUUGUCUCUAUUAGUCAUUAGGAGCGCAAAUAGAAAUUGCUGUUGAGAAUGUUCUCAUCAAUUUUACACAAUUCUUAAAAUUCGAUGGGCCCAACUCACUAAAUAAAAAAUAAGAAAAAAAUUAUAAAACGCGCUGACAAAUAACAAGAAUACUAUAUAAAUAAUUUCCAGCCCCACUUUCCCUGAUGUGAACCCUAAGGAACGUCAGACAAAGACACUGCCAUAAACUAUAGACAAAGAAAUAUGGAGUAUUUAAGUAAUCGUAUUGUUUGUUGGUUCAGCAUCUAUUAUUCAUUGGUAAAGCACUGAUAUUAUUAAAGUAAUCGUCGUCUUUACGAGGGAACGUUGUUGAAUGAAUCUCAAAUAAAAGAGUUCUACAA